rnacentral:rRNA from 1 species
GUGCAGCAGGCGAGAAUUUUUCUCAAUGGGGGAAACCCUGAAGGAGCGACGCCGCGUGGAGGAUGAAGGUCUUCGGAUUGUAAACUCCUGUCAUUUGAGAACAAUUGCACGCGAUUAACUGUCGUGUGCUUGAUAGUAUCAGAAGAGGAAGAGACGGCUAACUCUGUGCCAGCAGCCGCGGUAAUACAGAGGUCUCGAGCGUUGUUCGGAUUCAUUGGGCGUAAAGGGUGCGUAGGUGGCGGGGCAAGUCAGGUGUGAAAUCUCGGGGCUCAACCCCGAAACUGCGCUUGAUACUGCUUUUGCUAGAGUAUUGGAGAGGAGAUUAGAAUUUACGGUGUAGCAGUGAAAUGCGUAGAUAUCGUAAGGAAGACCAGUGGCGAAGGCGAAUCUCUGGACAAUUACUGACACUGAGGCACGAAGGCCAGGGGAGCAAACGGGAUUAGAUACCCCUGUAGU